GCCGGAGCUUGGGUCCCUGGUUGCCUGGAAACCCUCCCUGAGCUUCCUCAGCGUUCUGAGGUUGCUAGGAGACGAGACGACGCCUGCCCAAGGGAGAGACCAUGUGCAGCCCGAGCUCCGGGGGCGGACAACGUACCGGAGGGGUGCCGGUUUCCAAGUUGAGGGUUCGAGGGAGUUGGGAGACUGGGGUGAGUUCUCUCCUGGGCCCUCCUGACCUGCCCGGCCAGAAGCCAGCUGCCCUGCCUGGCAGUGCCAAGGAUGCCCCACCGGGGGGUCCCGGGCUGUCCUGCCACCAAGAAGAAUAUGUCUGGAGGCUGACCCAGCUCCUGGGCGCAGCGCCCCCUGGUCGAGGAGAGCUCAGCCCCUGCAGCUCGGACUCCAUCUGUACGGAGGACUUCGCUGCCCGCUUCCAAGAGGCCAUGGUGGAGGCGCUGCCGCCCGAGGAGCAGGAGGAGGAGCGGGCCUGC
rnacentral:lncRNA from 1 species